rnacentral:rRNA from 1 species
UACGGGGGGGGCAAGCGUUGUUCGGAAUUACUGGGCGUAAAGGGCUCGUAGGCGGCCAACUAAGUCGGACGUGAAAUCCCCAGGCUCAACCUGGGAACUGCGUCCGAUACUGGAUGGCUUGAAUCCGGGAGAGGGAUGCAGAAUUCCAGGUGUAGCGGUGAAAUGCGUAGAUAUCUGGAGGAAUACCGGUGUCGAAGGCGGCAUCCUGGACCGGCAUUGACGCUGAGGAGCGAAAGCCAGGGGAGCAAACGGG